rnacentral:lncRNA from 1 species
UUCACCACGCUCAGCCCCUCCAAGGCCACCUUCACCUUGCCGUACACAUCGUCCGGAGCCGCCACAGCGCUGAUCACGUGGCACUUGCCCUGCGUAAGGUAGUGGUCCUUCACGGGCAGCGACUGAUCCAGGAAGGUGCGGAAGCGCUUGCGAAUGGUGUCGGCGUUGUCGUCGCUGCGGCCGCUGGUCUCCCCGCGCUUCAGCAGGCGCUUCUCCAUCUCCUCCUCCGGGCAGUCGAAGAACAGCACCGUCUUGCACGGCAUAAUGCUGCUCUCAAACUGCUCCGCCUGGUCCAGCGCGCGCGGAAAGCCGUCGAUGAGGAAGAACUUGCCACCGCUGGCUAUCAUGUCCCGCUUCAGCAGGUUGAGCGUGACAGCCACCGGCACGAGCUUGCCCUCCUUCAUCAGCGCCUCGCACUUCUGGCCGACCUCGCUGCCGCUCUUCACCUCAGCGCGCAGCAGGUCGCCGGCGCUGAGGUGCACGCAAUCGUAGUCGGCCUUAAUCUUGUCGCACUGCGUGCCCUUGCCGCUGCCGGGGCCACCGAGCACGAACACAAUCUGGGCAUCGGCGGGCAGGCUGCCGGGCACGGACGGCAGCGCAAUCUCCUGUGAAGGGAGCAUGGAUUAAAAAUGUUGUAAGAUAUGUGAAAAUCGGUCGUUUCACAUGCGAGUGCUGAACCCAUCAGCCGUCAACGUGAAUCCAUCAAGACAUGCAAACCGGAUCCCGGAAUGUGCAUGCAUAUGCGCGCCCAAGCACAAGCACAAGAUGCAAGCCGUUUACGGCAAACACCACGCCUAGGGACCAGAGUGCCACAAAGCCCGCCCAAGCAAAGCCCCACCCACCUCCGACUUCUUGGGUGCGCCCAUAGCGUCCAGCGCCGCCUUCACCUUGCCGUACACCUCCUUUGGGGGAGGGACAGCGCUGAUCACGUGGCACUUGCCCUGCGCAAGGUAGUGGUCCUUCACAGGCAGCGACUGAUCCAGGAAGGUGCGGAAGCGCUUGCGAAUGGUGUCGGCGUUGUCGUCGCUGCGGCCGCUGGUCUCCCCGCGCUUCAGCAGGCGCUUCUCCAUCUCCUCCUCCGGGCAGUCGAAGAACAGCACCGUCUUGCACGGCAUGAUGCUGCUCUCAAACUGCUCCGCCUGGUCCAGCGCGCGUGGAAAGCCGUCGAUGAGGAAGAACUUGCCGCCGCUGGCUAUCAUGUCCCGCUUCAGCAGGUUGAGCGUGACAGCCACCGGCACGAGCUUGCCCUCCUUCAUCAGCGCCUCGCACUUCUGGCCGACCUCGCUGCCGCUCUUCACCUCAGCGCGCAGCAGGUCGCCGGCGCUGAGGUGCACGCACUCAUACUCCUCCUUGAUCUGAUCGCAUUGCGUGCCCUUGCCGCUGCCGGGGCCGCCGAGCACGAACACGAUCUGGGCAUCGGCGGGCAGGCUGCCAGGCACAGGCGGCAGCGCAAUCUCCUGCGGGCACGUGCAGCCGAGGACAUUCAGGUUAGGACCGAAUGGCACCAGCCGCAAUCAGAUGCUACGAAACAAAAGCUAUUACUUCCAUGCGGAGAUUAAUUGGCACAGCUGCUAUCCGUUUCCCGCCCCAGCAGCCCCGCAUUAUAGUCAAAAACGCCGUACAACGCAUCCCGGCUUUCCCUUACCUCUGAAACCGCAGCAGCCGCCUUCUUCGGCGCGUGCAAGCCCUCCAACACCACCUUCACCUUGCCGUACACAUCGUCCGGAGCCGCCACAGCGCUGAUCACGUGGCACUUGCCCUGCGCAAGGUAGUGGUCCUUCACAGGCAGCGACUGCUCCAGGAAGGUGUGGAAGCGCUUGCGAAUGGUGUCGGCGUUGUCGUCGCUGCGGCCGCUGGUCUCCCCGCGCUUCAGCAGGCGCUUCUCCAUCUCCUCCUCCGGGCAGUCAAAGAACAGCACCGUCUUGCACGGCAUAAUGCUGCUCUCAAACUGCUCCGCCUGGUCCAGCGCGCGCGGAAAGCCGUCGAUGAGGAAGAACUUGCCACCGCUGGCUAUCAUGUCCCGCUUCAGCAGGUUGAGCGUGACAGCCACCGGCACGAGCUUGCCCUCCUUCAUCAGCGCCUCGCACUUCUGGCCGACCUCGCUGCCGCUCUUCACCUCAGCGCGCAGCAGGUCGCCGGCGCUGAGGUGCACGCACUCGUAGUCGGCCUUAAUCUUGUCGCAUUGCGUGCCCUUGCCGCUGCCGGGGCCGCCGAGCACGAACACGAUCUGGGCAUCGGCAGGCAGGCUGCCAGGCACAGGCGGCAGCGCGAUGUCCUGUUGCAUGAACGGAGAGCACAGAAGGAGGCAAGACGUUUCAGUUUUACAGUGACCAAACAUCCACUUGGCGCUACGGCCCGAGUGCUUCCCAAAGCACCCAUAGCAUCCUGCUGUCGCAUACAGCGCUGUGCGCAUCCCGAAAUUAAAGCCCCAACAAUUGGACAUAAGACAAGCCCAUGUCCAUUCACGACCCAAAUCUACGUGCUCAGGUCACGGCGCCGCAAAGUCCACCCAAGCAAAGCCCCACCCACCUCGGACUUCUUGGGUGCGCCCAUAGCGUCCAGCGCCGCCUUCACCUUGCCGUACACUUCCUUUGGGGGAGGGACAGCGCUGAUCACGUGGCACUUGCCCUGCGCAAGGUAGUGGUCCUUCACAGGCAGCGACUGAUCCAGGAAGGUGCGGAAGCGCUUGCGAAUGGUGUCGGCGUUGUCGUCGCUGCGGCCGCUGGUCUCCCCGCGCUUCAGCAGGCGCUUCUCCAUCUCCUCCUCCGGGCAGUCAAAGAACAGCACCGUCUUGCACGGCAUGAUGCUGCUCUCAAACUGCUCCGCCUGGUCCAGCGCGCGUGGAAAGCCGUCGAUGAGGAAGAACUUGCCGCCGCUGGCUAUCAUGUCCCGCUUCAGCAGGUUGAGCGUGACAGCCACCGGCACGAGCUUGCCCUCCUUCAUCAGCGCCUCGCACUUCUGGCCAACCUCGCUGCCGCUCUUCACCUCAGCGCGCAGCAGGUCGCCGGCGCUGAGGUGCACGCACUCAUACUCCUCCUUGAUCUGAUCGCAUUGCGUGCCCUUGCCGCUGCCGGGGCCGCCGAGCACGAACACGAUCUGGGCGUCGGCAGGCAGGCUGCCGGGCACGGGCGGCAGCGCAAACUCCUGCAUAGGGACGAAAAUGCAAUGGAAAUCAGCAAGCCGAGAUUAAUAAUCAGUGGAAACUUACGCAUCAGUACACUUGCACUUCAGUACGCAUCCUACUACCGGGAGGAUACGGUAAGGCAGGCAGGCAGAGGCCAUCGAUUUCACGCUUGCCCCAGCUUUCCGUACGAUGUACCGUAUGCUAGGUUGCUUGACCGGAACCCGUGCAAGACGCACACGGAUAUACCACCGGUGAACAGCCAUGACCGCUCACCUCCAAAGCAGCCGCAGCAGGAGUAGCCGAAACUGUCGCAGUCACGCCCGCCUUCUUCGGCGCGUGCAAGCCCUCCAGCACCACCUUCACCUUGCCGUACACAUCGUCCGGAGCCGCCACAGCGCUGAUCACGUGGCACUUGCCCUGCGUAAGGUAGUGGUCCUUCACAGGCAGCGACUGAUCCAGGAAGGUGCGGAAGCGCUUGCGAAUGGUGUCGGCGUUGUCGUCGCUGCGGCCGCUGGUCUCCCCGCGCUUCAGCAGGCGCUUCUCCAUCUCCUCCUCCGGGCAGUCGAAGAACAGCACCGUCUUGCACGGCAUGAUGCUGCUCUCAAACUGCGCCGCCUGGUCCAGCGCGCGCGGAAAGCCGUCGAUGAGGAAGAACUUGCCGCCGCUGGCUAUCAUGUCCCGCUUCAGCAGGUUAAGCGUGACAGCCACCGGCACGAGCUUGCCCUCCUUCAUCAGCGCCUCGCACUUCUGGCCGACCUCGCUGCCGCUCUUCACCUCAGCGCGCAGCAGGUCGCCGGCGCUGAGGUGCACGCACUCGUAGUCGGCCUUAAUCUUGUCGCAUUGCGUCCCCUUGCCGCUGCCGGGGCCGCCGAGCACGAACACGAUCUGGGCGUCGGCAGGCAGGUUGCCGGGCACAGGUGGCAGCGCGAUGUCCUGCAUAAAAGCAACCAAGGGAACAAACGUGCAAUCAUAAGGUGUUGGCUGUGGCGCCGACCAUGACCCAGUGCCCUUGUACACAAAGCAAUGGGGCGUGCCGUACGCGCCGCACACACAGAACAGCGGUUUGGUGGCUGGAAACAUAAGAUGCGGCACGGUAUCCCUAUCUGCAGGUCGGCUUCUCAAGUGUUCAACUUAGGCAAGACGCACCUCCGAAGCAGCCGGGGCCGCUGCAAGUGCCGUCGCCGCUGCGCUCGCCUUCUUCGGCGCGUGCAAGCCCUCCAGCACCACCUUCACCUUGCCGUACACAUCGUCCGGAGCCGCCACAGCGCUGAUCACGUGGCACUUGCCCUGCGUAAGGUAGUGGUCCUUCACGGGCAGCGACUGAUCCAGGAAGGUGUGGAAGCGCUUGCGAAUGGUGUCGGCGUUGUCGUCGCUGCGGCCGCUGGUCUCCCCGCGCUUCAGCAGGCGCUUCUCCAUCUCCUCCUCCGGGCAGUCAAAGAACAGCACCGUCUUGCACGGCAUGAUGCUGCUCUCAAACUGCUCCGCCUGGUCCAGCGCGCGUGGAAAGCCGUCGAUGAGGAAGAACUUGCCGCCGCUGGCUAUCAUGUCCCGCUUCAGCAGGUUGAGCGUGACAGCCACCGGCACGAGCUUGCCCUCCUUCAUCAGCGCCUCGCACUUCUGGCCAACCUCGCUGCCGCUCUUCACCUCAGCGCGCAGCAG